rnacentral:rRNA from 1 species
GUAACACGUAGGUAACCUGCCCAGAAGCGGGGGACAACAUUUGGAAACAGAUGCUAAUACCGCAUAACAACGUUGUUCGCAUGAACAACGCUUAAAAGAUGGCUUCUCGCUAUCACUUCUGGAUGGACCUGCGGUGCAUUAGCUUGUUGGUGGGGUAAUGGCCUACCAAGGCGAUGAUGCAUAGCCGAGUUGAGAGACUGAUCGGCCACAAUGGGACUGAGACACGGCCCAUACUCCUACGGGAGGCAGCAGUAGGGAAUCUUCCACAAUGGGCGCAAGCCUGAUGGAGCAACACCGCGUGAGUGAAGAAGGGUUUCGGCUCGUAAAGCUCUGUUGUUAAAGAAGAACACGUAUGAGAGUAACUGUUCAUACGUUGACGGUAUUUAACCAGAAAGUCACGGCUAACUACGUGCCAGCAGCCGCGGUAAUACGUAGGUGGCAAGCGUUAUCCGGAUUUAUUGGGCGUAAAGAGAGUGCAGGCGGUUUUCUAAGUCUGAUGUGAAAGCCUUCGGCUUAACCGGAGAAGUGCAUCGGAAACUGGAUAACUUGAGUGCAGAAGAGGGUAGUGGAACUCCAUGUGUAGCGGUGGAAUGCGUAGAUAUAUGGAAGAACACCAGUGGCGAAGGCGGCUACCUGGUCUGCAACUGACGCUGAGACUCGAAAGCAUGGGUAGCGAACAGGAUUAG